rnacentral:rRNA from 1 species
UUAAGGGCGCACGGUGGAUGCCUUGGCACUAGAAGCCGAUGAAGGACGUUACUAACGACGAUAUGCUUUGGGGAGCUGUAAGUAAGCUUUGAUCCAGAGAUUUCCGAAUGGGGAAACCCAGCAUGAGUUAUGUCAUGUUAUCGAUAUGUGAAUACAUAGCAUAUCAGAAGGCACACCCGGAGAACUGAAACAUCUUAGUACCCGGAGGAAGAGAAAGAAAAUUCGAUUCCCUUAGUAGCGGCGAGCGAAACGGGAAGAGCCCAAACCAACAAGCUUGCUUGUUGGGGUUGUAGGACACUCUAUACGGAGUUACAAAGGACGACAUUAGACGAAUCAUCUGGAAAGAUGAAUCAAAGAAGGUAAUAAUCCUGUAGUCGAAAAUGUUGUCUCUCUUGAGUGGAUCCUGAGUACGACGGAGCACGUGAAAUUCCGUCGGAAUCUGGGAGGACCAUCUCCUAAGGCUAAAUACUCUCUAGUGACCGAUAGUGAACCAGUACCGUGAGGGAAAGGUGAAAAGCACCCCGGAAGGGGAGUGAAAUAGAACCUGAAACCGUGUGCUUACAAGUAGUCAGAGCCCGUUAAUGGGUGAUGGCGUGCCUUUUGUAGAAUGAACCGGCGAGUUACGAUUUGAUGCAAGGUUAAGCAGUAAAUGUGGAGCCGUAGCGAAAGCGAGUCUGAAUAGGGCGUUUAGUAUUUGGUCGUAGACCCGAAACCAGGUGAUCUACCCUUGGUCAGGUUGAAGUUCAGGUAACACUGAAUGGAGGACCGAACCGACUUACGUUGAAAAGUGAGCGGAUGAACUGAGGGUAGCGGAGAAAUUCCAAUCGAACCUGGAGAUAGCUGGUUCUCUCCGAAAUAGCUUUAGGGCUAGCCUCAAGUGAUGAUUAUUGGAGGUAGAGCACUGUUUGGACGAGGGGCCCCUCUCGGGUUACCGAAUUCAGACAAACUCCGAAUGCCAAUUAAUUUAACUUGGGAGUCAGAACAUGGGUGAUAAGGUCCGUGUUCGAAAGGGAAACAGCCCAGACCACCAGCUAAGGUCCCAAAAUAUAUGUUAAGUGGAAAAGGAUGUGGCGUUGCCCAGACAACUAGGAUGUUGGCUUAGAAGCAGCCAUCAUUUAAAGAGUGCGUAAUAGCUCACUAGUCGAGUGACACUGCGCCGAAAAUGUACCGGGGCUAAACAUAUUACCGAAGCUGUGGAUUGUCCUUUGGACAAUGGUAGGAGAGCGUUCUAAGGGCGUUGAAGCAUGAUCGUAAGGACAUGUGGAGCGCUUAGAAGUGAGAAUGCCGGUGUGAGUAGCGAAAGACGGGUGAGAAUCCCGUCCACCGAUUGACUAAGGUUUCCAGAGGAAGGCUCGUCCGCUCUGGGUUAGUCGGGUCCUAAGCUGAGGCCGACAGGCGUAGGCGAUGGAUAACAGGUUGAUAUUCCUGUACCACCUAUAAUCGUUUUAAUCGAUGGGGGGACGCAGUAGGAUAGGCGAAGCGUGCGAUUGGAUUGCACGUCUAAGCAGUAAGGCUGAGUAUUAGGCAAAUCCGGUACUCGUUAAGGCUGAGCUGUGAUGGGGAGAAGACAUUGAGUCUUCGAGUCGUUGAUUUCACACUGCCGAGAAAAGCCUCUAGAUAGAAAAUAGGUGCCCGUACCGCAAACCGACACAGGUAGUCAAGAUGAGAAUUCUAAGGUGAGCGAGCGAACUCUCGUUAAGGAACUCGGCAAAAUGACCCCGUAACUUCGGGAGAAGGGGUGCUCUUUAGGGUUAACGCCCAGAAGAGCCGCAGUGAAUAGGCCCAAGCGACUGUUUAUCAAAAACACAGGUCUCUGCUAAACCGUAAGGUGAUGUAUAGGGGCUGACGCCUGCCCGGUGCUGGAAGGUUAAGAGGAGUGGUUAGCUUCUGCGAAGCUACGAAUCGAAGCCCCAGUAAACGGCGGCCGUAACUAUAACGGUCCUAAGGUAGCGAAAUUCCUUGUCGGGUAAGUUCCGACCCGCACGAAAGGCGUAACGAUUUGGGCACUGUCUCAACGAGAGACUCGGUGAAAUCAUAGUACCUGUGAAGAUGCAGGUUACCCGCGACAGGACGGAAAGACCCCGUGGAGCUUUACUGUAGCCUGAUAUUGAAAUUCGGCACAGCUUGUACAGGAUAGGUAGGAGCCUUUGAAACGUGAGCGCUAGCUUACGUGGAGGCGCUGGUGGGAUACUACCCUAGCUGUGUUGGCUUUCUAACCCGCACCACUUAUCGUGGUGGGAGACAGUGUCAGGCGGGCAGUUUGACUGGGGCGGUCGCCUCCUAAAAGGUAACGGAGGCGCUCAAAGGUUCCCUCAGAAUGGUUGGAAAUCAUUCAUAGAGUGUAAAGGCAUAAGGGAGCUUGACUGCGAGACCUACAAGUCGAGCAGGGUCGAAAGACGGACUUAGUGAUCCGGUGGUUCCGCAUGGAAGGGCCAUCGCUCAACGGAUAAAAGCUACCCCGGGGAUAACAGGCUUAUCUCCCCCAAGAGUUCACAUCGACGGGGAGGUUUGGCACCUCGAUGUCGGCUCAUCGCAUCCUGGGGCUGUAGUCGGUCCCAAGGGUUGGGCUGUUCGCCCAUUAAAGCGGUACGCGAGCUGGGUUCAGAACGUCGUGAGACAGUUCGGUCCCUAUCCGUCGUGGGCGUAGGAAAUUUGAGAGGAGCUGUCCUUAGUACGAGAGGACCGGGAUGGACAUACCUCUGGUGUACCAGUUGUCGUGCCAACGGCAUAGCUGGGUAGCUAUGUGUGGACGGGAUAAGUGCUGAAAGCAUCUAAGCAUGAAGCCCCCCUCAAGAUGAGAUUUCCCAACUUCGGUUAUAAGAUCCCUCAAAGAUGAUGAGGUUAAUAGGUUCGAGGUGGAAGCAUGGUGACAUGUGGAGCUGACGAAUACUAAUCGAUCGAAGACUUAAUCAA